GGGCAAAUGGUGCAGGGUUAUCACCUGUCUGUAAAGCGAUGGUGUUUCUCUAUGAUUUGUGUUUGCGAAAGGUCUCCGGUUCAAGUCCGGAUUUGUCCA